rnacentral:rRNA from 1 species
UACGGGGGGGCAAGCGUUGUUCGGAAUUCCUGGGCGUAAAGGGUUCGUAGGUGGCUUGCUAAGUCAGACGUGAAAUCCCUCAGCUUAACUGGGGAACUGCGUCUGAGACUGGCAAGCUUGAGUGCAGGAGAGGAACGCGGAAUUCCAGGUGUAGCGGUGAAAUGCGUAGAUAUCUGGAGGAACACCGGUGGCGAAGGCGGCGUUCUGGACUGUAACUGACACUGAAGAACGAAAGCCAGGGGAGCAAACGGG